CAAAAGACGAAAACAUCGGAAUGUGUUGAUACCGCUAGCUUACCACUAUCGUAAAGACGAGAAACUAUUGGUCAUUGAUUUCUUCACUAAACAUUUUUGUUUCACAUGUUUACCAGUUCUAUCAGAGAUUUGAUUGAAGAAGAAUAUGCAGGAGUUGUCUGCAAAGCUUGUCGUAUUAUUGUUGCAUCGUACUUUUGGUUGUUCUGGUUGUUAUUGCAAAAAUAUUGUGCAU
rnacentral:lncRNA from 1 species